rnacentral:rRNA from 1 species
GACGAACGCUGGCGGCGUGCCUAAUACAUGCAAGUAGAACGCUGAAGGAGGAGCUUGCUUCUCUGGAUGAGUUGCGAACGGGUGAGUAACGCGUAGGUAACCUGCCUGGUAGCGGGGGAUAACUAUUGGAAACGAUAGCUAAUACCGCAUAAGAGUAGAUGUUGCAUGACAUUUGCUUAAAAGGUGCAAUUGCAUCACUACCAGAUGGACCUGCGUUGUAUUAGCUAGUUGGUGGGGUAACGGCUUACCAAGGCGACGAUACAUAGCCGACCUGAGAGGGUGAUCGGCCACACUGGGACUGAGACACGGCCCAGACUCCUACGGGAGGCAGCAGUAGGGAAUCGUCGGCAAUGGACGGAAGUCUGACCGAGCAACGCCGCGUGAGUGAAGAAGGUUUUCGGAUCGUAAAGCUCUGUUGUAAGAGAAGAACGAGUGUGAGAGUGGAAAGUUCACACUGUGACGGUAUCUGACCAGAAAGGGACGGCUAACUACGUG